rnacentral:rRNA from 1 species
GAUUUCUGGCAUGGUGUACCUGGCCCGCGGCGUUAGCUUGUGAGUGCUGGGUUGCGCCUGCCAUCCUUACUAGACAGCGAUACUACCCUUCACGGGGCCGGUAUCGACCAUCUAGAUCUUUUACUUUGAAAAAAUUAGAGUGUUUCAAGCAGGCGUUUGCUAUGAAUACAUUAGCAUGGAAUAAUCGACGAUGGCUUCGGCCCGCUCGUUGGUUUCUUCGCGGACUGAAGUGAUGAUUGAUAGGGAUAGUUGGGGGUGCUCGUAUUCAGCGGCCAGAGGUGAAAUUCUCGGAUUCGCUGAAGACGAACUAAUGCGAAAGCAUU